rnacentral:rRNA from 1 species
GAUGAACGCUGGCGGCGUGCCUAAUACAUGCAAGUCGAACGCAUUGUGGUUGAAAUGAUAUGAAGAACUUGUUCAGAUUUGAUUUUCAACAUUGCAAUGAGUGGCGAACGGGUGAGUAACACGUGGGAAACCUACCUCUUAGCAGGGAUAACAUUUGGAAACAAAUGCUAAUACCGUAUAAUAAUUAAAACCGCAUGGUUUUAGUUUAAAAGAUGGUCUUGCUAUCACUAGGAGAUGGUCCCCGCGGUGUAUUAGUUAGUUGGUGAGGUAAUGGCUCACCAAGACAAUGAUACAUAGCCGAGUUGAGAGACCUGACCGGCCACAAUGGGACUGAGACACGGCCCAUACUCCUACGGGAGGCAGCAGUAGGGAGUCUUCCACAAUGGACGAAAGUCUGAUGGAGCAACGCCGCGUGUGUGA